AUACUUACCUGGUGCCGGGGUAACCAUGGUCAACAUGGUGGGGCCCCCAGACAAGGGCGCGGGCAUUGUACUGCGCUCGUCUUGACCCCUGCCACUACCCCAAACUGGGGCGGAUGGCGCAAUCAAGUUUAGGUAGUGGGGGAGUGCGUUCGCCCUCUCCCUCU